UACGUAGGGGGCAAGCGUUGUCCGGAAUUAUUGGGCGUAAAGAGCGUGUAGGCGGCCAGAUAAGUCCGCUGUGAAAUCUCGAGGCUCAACUUCGAGCUGUCGGUGGAAACUAUCUGGCUAGAGUCCGGAAGAGGAGAAUGGAAUUCCUGGUGUAGCGGUGAAAUGCGCAGAUAUCAGGAAGAACACCCGUGGCGAAGGCGGUCUCUGGGACGGUACUGACGCUGGAGACGCGAAAGCCGUGGGGAGCAAACAGG
rnacentral:rRNA from 1 species